CUCCUGACUGCGCGAUCCUCCUGCCUCGGCCUCACAAAGUGCUGGGAUGACAGGCGUGAGCCAACUCGCCAGGCCUCAGUGUCUUUUUUUGAGCAGCACUUUGCAAAUAAUGUAAAUGCUAAAGAGGUAUAAAGAAUAUUUAAAACACUAUCCAAAGGGCAUAAGAUAUGUUUAAUGAAUGAGAAUAAAGUUGUCAUUAGAAUAAUUUUUUUACCAGCUUUAUUUUCUUAAUUUCUGAAGUAUUGCCCUAUUAUAAAAAAGAUUAAAGUAGAUCCCCAAAUCAGAAGAGUUUUUGAUUAGAAUGAAGGACCUGAAUUGGUUUUCCAGAUGGACUCACUUGUUAAAAGGGGAUUGUGACAAGUAUUUAUUCAGCAGUUUGUUCCACAGCCGGUGUUUGGGCUAUUGGAAAGGAGGUGCUAUAUAAGUGUAUUGUAAUAAUGAAUGCCCUUAGGCAAGAGGGGAAUUGUGUAAGUAGAUGUAUUCUGUAAUUCUUUCAUGUAUAUUCAUCUUUUCUGUCCAAGUGGAAUAUACACCCUUUAUGGGCAAGGACCACCUCUUCUAAUUUGUAUUUAUAAACUAUUUUUUCUUUCUCAGGGCUUUCAAGGACUGAGAAUGCACAUAUGGAUAGAACAAAUCUAGAAAUUCAAGCUACUUCUAUUGCUAAACAAGUGUAGAGUUUCAUAUAAAUAUAAUUCAUAAAAGGUAUAAAUGGCAAGAGUUUCUACCCAAAGAUUUUGUGAAACACCUGGUAUUCUAGCAACAGUGUCAAGGCGUGGCAUCCCUUAGCCCCUCAGAGACCUCUGCCCUCAGCAGAUGUGACCGCUUUCUUGGAUCUCAGCAGUGCAAGGUCUGGAAGCUGGAAAUCUGAAGUCAGGGUGCCCACCUGCUCUGGCUCUGAUGAGGAUCCUAUUCAAAAUUGCAGACUGAAGGCUUCUCCUUGUAUCAUCAUGUGGCAGAAAUGAAGCAGGUUAGCUCUCUGGCUUCUUCUUAGAAGGGUACUAAUCCCAUUCAUGAGGGCUCCCCCUUCAUGAUCUGUUUUCCUCCUAAACGUCCCAUCUCCAAAUACCAGCACAUUGAGAUGAGUGUCUCAACAUAAAUUUGAGGGAAUACAAAUAUUUAGUCCACUGCAAUAUUUUAAUAAGAAAUACUGUAAAAAAAAAUUAAAACUACCUUGCAUAUGAAUAAAAAGUGCUAACGUAAAAUUAACGAAAUAUGGCUGAUAAUAAUUUUGGUUGACUGUUACAAUGAGAACUCGAAGAAAUAUAUGAAAUAUUUUUGUUUUGGAAAAGUUCUGGCUAAUGUCCAGAAGUCAUCCCUCCCCCGUUUAUAUUUUGGUCCCAGGUACAGUAAUAAUUUACAACUCUGAAUUAUCCAAAACAGUGAAUGCUUUACCCCAGUCUGUGAAUAUCUCAUAGACAGUCUUAUUAAUAAAGGAACUAAUUAGUAGCUGAUGGCAUUGUGCAGCAUAAACAUAAGGAGACACCUAACACCCUCACUAAUCUAGGGGUACAUUGCAUCCUGUGGGAAGCAAGAAAAUGCAAAAUCGGAAUGACUACAUCUUUACCUGAGAGAAAAGACUGGAUUUCCCCUCUGUCAAUCCCAGGGUGCCAAAUUGAGACACCCCCCCCACCAACUUCAAAGAUAAAUAUCUUAAAAUGCUCGAUUACUUCAUUACUAGA